rnacentral:sRNA from 1 species
GGUUGAUUAUUCCCCGAAAAAGAAGGUCAAGUCUCCAAAAAAGUCCUCCAAGAAGCCAGCCGCGAAGGUGGAAUCGGAAGAACCUUCUGACAAUGAGGAGGAGGAGGAGGAG